UUAAUAAGUCUGAAGUUAAAGGCAGUGGCUUAACCAUUGUUCGCUUUGGAAACUGUUAAACUUGAGUGCAGAAGGGGAGAGUGGAAUUCCAUGUGUAGCGGUGAAAUGCGUAGAUAUAUGGAGGAACACCGGUGGCGAAAGCGGCUCUCUGGUCUGUAACUGACGCUGAGGCUCGAAAGCGUGGGGAGCAAACAGGAUUAAAUACCCUGGUAGUCCACGCCGUAAACGAUGAGUGCUAGGUGUUAGGCCCUUUCCGGGGCUUAGUGCCGCAGCUAACGCAUUAAGCACUCCGCCUGGGGAGUACCACCGCAAGGUUGAAACUCAAAGGAAUUGACGGGGGCCCGCACAAGCGGUGGAGCAUGUGGUUUAAUUGCGUAUAUGCAACGCGAAUAACCUUACCGAGUCUUGACAUCCCGAUGCUAUUUCUAGAGAUAGAAAGUUUCUUUGGAACAUCGGAUACAGGUGGUGCAAGGUUGU
rnacentral:rRNA from 1 species